CCUACGGGAGGCAGCAGUGGGGAAUAUUGCACAAUGGGGGAAACCCUGAUGCAGCAACGCCGCGUGAAGGAAGACGGCUUUCGGAUUGUAAACUUCUGUCCUUAGUGAAGAAUAAUGACGGUAGCUAAGGAGUAAGCCACGGCUUACCACGUGCCAGCAGCCGCGGUAAUACGCAGGUGGCAAGCGUUGUCCGGAAUUACUGGGUGGAAAGGGAGCGCAGGCGGGAAGCCAAGUCAGCUGUGAAAACUACGGGCUUAACUUGUAGACUGCAUUUGAAAUUGGUCAUCUUGAGUCAAGUAGAGGUUGGCAGAAUUCCAGGUGUAGCGGUGAAAUGCGUAGAGAUGCGGAGGAACACCGGUGGCGAAGGCGGCCAACUGGAC
rnacentral:rRNA from 1 species